rnacentral:rRNA from 1 species
UACGGGGGGGGCAAGCGUUGUUCGGAAUUACUGGGCGUAAAGGGCUCGUAGGUGGCCAACUAAGUCAGACGUGAAAUCCCUCAGCUUAACUGGGGAACUGCGUCUGAUACUGGAUGGCUUGAGUUUGGGAGAGGGAUGCGGAAUUCCAGGUGUAGCGGUGAAAUGCGUAGAUAUCUGGAGGAACACCGGUGGCGAAGGCGGCAUCCUGGACCAACACUGACACUGAUGAGCGAAAGCCAGGGGAGCAAACGGGAGUUA